rnacentral:rRNA from 1 species
AACUUUCAACAACGGAUCUCUUGGUUCCGACAUCGAUGAAGAACGCAGCGAAAUGCGAUAAGUAAUGUGAAUUGCAGAAUUCCGUGAAUCAUCGAAUCUUUGAACGCACAUUGCGCCCCCUGGUAUUCCGGGGGGCAUGCCUGUCCGAGCGUCAUUGC